rnacentral:lncRNA from 1 species
AGAGCCGCUGGCUCACCACCAAGGAGAUACCUGCUCCCAAAGUUUCUAUUUUUUGUGUCCCCUGACACUGGCCCUGUCUCCAUGCUAGGCUUCUUUGUUCAUGGCCUCCCUGAGUUUUUCCAAUAAGGAUAUCAUUUGUAUGCAGGUGACAGUUGAAGCAGUGGCGGUGGUGAGCUCUCCAAUGGAGAGGCGUAGAAAAAGGAGGAGGAGGAGACGCACAAGACGCUCAGGAAGGAC